AAUCAUGGGCUUCCCUUUUUAUCGCAAAUUAGAUUUUGGAAAUCUUUAAUUAGUUUCUGAUUGAGACUUUAAAUUAUGAUUCUCUCCCACUUAGUCUUUUUAGUUCUAUGAUAAAUUUGCCUUAUUGGGGUCUUAACACAAUACAUAUGCUUUCAUGUUAUGUUUGUGGUUUCCCCCUAUUUUCUGUGCAGUUUAUUAAUACUAUCUUUGUUAAUCAUAUCUUGGUUUUUUGAGUAUUUCAUUUUAUUUGCAUAGUAUGCCAUAGUUUCUCGAUGUGUAUUUUUUAAUUCUGCAUGCAAUUGGCUUGUCAUUUUACAUAAUCCUUAUGCUCUUUCAAGUCCCUGGUAAAAGGCUAUUUGUUUUGUGUAUUUGGCAGUUGUCACAAUUGACAUUAAUUUGUUUUUUCUUGUAUUGCUUCAUUUAAGAGGAAGCAAUUUCAUAACAUGAUGUUGAAUAGUGUGGGGAGACUAUAUGAGGUUGUUUUUUUGAUAAAUAUUAUAUGUACUCAGAAACUCAAUACAAAGCUCAGUUAAAAUCACAACAUGAACCAAAAAAAAAAAAAAAGAGCAUUAGGUUAUUAUACUAGAAUAUGACUUCUCUUUUCUGGUUUGGCAGUGACAAAAUGGUCGGGUUGGUGGCUGAUACUGGUAAUGAAUCAUUUGUGAUUCUCAAUAUUACCUUUUAUCUGAGAAUUAUUAUGUAACUAAAAAUAAGUUGAACUGAAAUCUGAAAGAUAAAAUAAUUGGUCUGAAACAGAGUACCAAAACCGAUUCUUGAUUGGAUAUAAUACAUGGUCCACUUUAUAAAUUAAUUUCCUUGGAAUUCUGAUUAAGGAACGAUCAAUAGCAGUAGAAGUGUAUAUAUUUGGAAGUAACAUAAUUUAUGCUGUAGGAAAUGUCUGAACUUUUUUCUUUUGGAUGAUUGGAGGAAUAUUAUGGAGUGAUUUGUUUCUCUGCUGUUCUUAAAUAUUGGAUCUAUAUAAAGUAACAGACUAUUUAGUUUUGGGUACUGUGGCCUAUGACGGUAUAUUCAUCUUGGUGGAAACAUGAUUAUCCAAAAUUAAUUCAAAUGAAACAUUCUCUUCCUUCUUCAGACGUACCCUACUCUGUCCUUGCAAAAACACUUGUUAAACUUGUAGAUUAGUGUGAGCAUUGUAAGAGAUCUAAACCAAAAGAAGAGCCUUGGUGAUAGAGAACAGGAAAAAGAAACAGAAGAAUUGGAGAGAAUAAGAAGUAUAGAUUAGGCUUAACAGCUUGAAAGAGGAGAAAUUCAGAAGUAGUAAAAGAGAUACCAAUAAUCUGUGUGAUCUGUUUUUUUUAAUUGUUUGGUUGCUGAAGGAAUUGCUUGUUGUCUCUAGCUUGCAGCUUUUUGAAGCAUGACAUAUUAAUUCAUUAUUUUUCUCUGCCAAUCUUCUGAAUUAGUAAGUUGGGAAGCAUGUUUAAUGUAUAUAUUGCCACUUUGUGGUGUCUCAAGCAGGUUGAAUUGUCUGUCGUCUCCAGGUUCAAGCUUAUUUUCACGUGAUUCCUUUUCAUUAUCAUCUUAUUUGGGAUCAUCUCAAACUUCAAAUUGCCGUAGAGGAGCAAGAUUUGUUGUUAGAGCUGAUGCUGUGAGUAUAAGAACAAACUUUAGCUUUCCUUUGAGACAAUGGAACUUUUUAUUUUUUAUGCGGCAGUUUAUACUUUCUGUGGACUUUUAAAGAAAUUUUGGCAUACUUUAUAAUUUCAUUGAUAUGCUGUUUGAUAGUUUUGUUAUAUGGUCAAUGACUAAUAUUUUCUGACAUGCAGGAUUACUAUUCAGUCCUGAAAUAAAAAGUGGAAUGCAGAUUUUCAUUUUCAUUUUUUUCUAUAUGUCUGUACUGUUCUAUUACAUUAAUUUUAUGGUUUACAUAGUGGAGUAAGUAUCCUUUUUUCUUUAUUCUUCUUUCUCUAUUUGUUUUAUCCAAAAUUUUCGGAUCACUUAUAUAUCAAAAUGAUUUAUCUUCUAGUCAUUUGAAUUUCAUAAUUAAUCAGGCUUUAGAGUAUAUCUAAAUUCUAGGCCUAAAGAACUAGCAAGUGUUAAUUUUUGUUAACAAUGUGAUAGGAAUCUAGUACACAAUCAACUGUAUCACUGCAAAGACAAAUUUGUUUAUUAUAAUAAGUAUGGGAACUUGUAAGGUUCCUAUUGCACAGGAAAUUAUAAAAGUAGAAAAUACACUUUUCUGGCAGUUCUGAGGAGCCAGAUCACCUCCCAACAAAACUCUGAAAUCUGAUGAGUCUAGCUGACACCCAUCCUCCCUUUUUAUUGACACUGAGAAUAAUUUAAGAAGUUUAUCGGAAGCUUGCUAGGAAUUACCACCCAGAUGUGAACAAUAUACAGAGAACCUGGUGCUGAACAGAAAUUUAAGGAAAUAAACAAUGCAUAUGAGACCCUGUAUUAAAACGUGAUGACACCAACAUUCUUUACACCCGAAAAGUUUCAUAUAUAGAUGCCAUUUUGGGGACUACAAUCAAGGUCCCCACAGUAGAUGGCAUGGUUGAUUUUAAGAUCCCCCUGGGACGCAGCCAAACACAACUCUUGUUAUGGCAAGGAAAAGGGUUCCAUUACUAAAUAAAAGCAACAUGGGAGGAGAUUGGUUGGUACACGCACAAGUUGAAAUCCCAAAAGAUUGAGCAGUGAAGAGAGAAAGCUUAUGAAGGAGCUUGCUGAUCUAAGCAAGGGUAAGACAGUGAGCACGAGAU